GUGUCAGCAGCCGCGGUAAAACCAGCACCUCAAGUGGUCAGGAGGAUUAUUGGGCCUAAAGCAUCCGUAGCCUGCUCUGUAAGUUUUCGGUUAAAUCCAUCAGCUUAACUGAUGGGCCGCCGAAAAAACUGCAAAGCUAGGGAGUGGGAGAGGUAGACGGUACUCGAUAGGAAGGGGUAAAAUCCUUUGAUCUAUUGAUGACCCCCUGUGGCGAAGGCGGUCUACCAGAACACGUUCGACGGUGAGGGAUGAAAGCUGGGGGAGCAAACCGGAUUAGAUACCCGGGUAGUCCCAGCUGUAAACGAUGCAGACUCGGUGAUGCGCUGGCUUGUGGCCAGUGCAGUGCCGCAGGGAAGCCGUUAAGUUUGCCGCCUGGGAAGUACGUACGCAAGUAUGAAACUUAAAGGAAUUGGCGGGGGAGCACCACAAGGGGUGAAGCCUGCGGUUCAAUUGGAGUCAACGCCAGAAAUCUUACCCGAGGAGACAGCAGAAUGAAGGUCAAGCUGGAGACUUUACCAGACAAGCUGAGAAGUGGUGCAUGGCCGUCGCCAGCUCGUGCCGUGAGAUGUCCUGUUAAGUCAGGUAACGAGCGAGAUCCCUGCCUCUAGUUGCCACCAUUACUCUCAGGAGUAGUGGGGCGAAUUAGAGGGACCGCCACAGUUAAUGUGGAGGAAGGAAGGGGCCACGGCAGGUCAGUAUGCCCUGAAACCUUGGGGCCACACGCGGGCUGCAAUGGUAGUGACAAUGAGUUUCCUAAUCCGAAAGGAGGAGGCAAUCUUCAAACGCUACCACAGUUAUGAUUGAGGGCUGCAACUCGCCCUCAUGAAUAUGGAAUCCCUAGUAACCGCGUGUCAUUACCGCGCAGUGAAUACGUCCCUGCUCCUUGCACACACCGCCCGUC
rnacentral:rRNA from 1 species